rnacentral:rRNA from 1 species
UACGUAGUGGGCAAGCGUUGUCCGGAAUCAUUGGGCGUAAAGAGCGUGUAGGCGGCCUGAUAAGUCGGCUGUGAAAGUCAAGGGCUCAACCCUUGAAUGCCGGCCGAUACUGUCAGGCUAGAAUCCGGAAGAGGCGAGUGGAAUUCCUGGUGUAGCGGUGAAAUGCGCAGAUAUCAGGAGGAACACCUAUGGCGAAGGCAGCUCGCUGGGACGGUAUUGACGCUGAGACGCGAAAGCGUGGGGAGCGAACAGG